rnacentral:piRNA from 1 species
UACCACACUUGUCUCGUUUGAUUCCUACC